rnacentral:pre_miRNA from 1 species
GUGGACCAGCCAGCCCCAUCUGGAAGACUAGUGAUUUUGUUGUUGUCUCCCUGCGCUCAACAACAAGUCCCAGUCUGCCGCAUGGUGCCGGCCGCCGCA